CCCGGUCGGACCAAACGUCAGCCAAUCAGCGCAAAGAUUAGUCGUGACGUCAUGACAAGAUGGCGGAACCCGGAAACCUACCGAACAGGUGUGUCUGUACCAAACCGUGUACCGUCACACAGGUAACAUGGAACACAUCAGGUGAGGUGGAGACGCUGCCGAUCUAGCUACCUCUACAAUCCCCACAGGAACAUCCUGGUAGCAGCUGGUACUGUCAAUCAUCUCGCUCCAACCAAUCAGCAACAAGAAGGUCACAUGAUCAGCCCACCAACCACCUGCUGCCUUACAAACUCCUGCUGCUUCCACCAAAUGACAUCAAAGGAUCAAAUUUAGAAAUUUUUUGUACAAGAUACAAACUUGUGCAUGAAAUUUCAAAUAUUCAGAAAAAAAUUUUUGCUGCAAUUUCCUUGCUAUUUCUGCUAAAAAUAGAAAACAGAAUGGUGUUUGUAGAAUCGUUUUACGUGCUGGUUGGCGUGUGCGCGGUGCUGUUCCUGUACACACGCACAGCGAUACCGACCGUCGAGGACCGCAACUUCCAAUCAUUCCAGAGAACGUACCUCGUGGUGUACUUACUGGGUGCUGCUGGAGACUGGAUGCAGGGGCCUCACGUGUACGCGCUGUACCAGAGUUACGGGAUGACGACACAUCAGAUUGAGCAGCUGUUUGUGGCAGGGUUUGGCUCCAGCAUGGUGUUUGGGACCGUGGUCGGGUCCUUUGCAGACAAAAUUGGACGUAGAACCAACUGCAUCUUGUAUGGUAUACUGUACAGCCUGGCCUGUGUUACUAAGCACUUUGCAAACUUCUGGAUUCUGAUGGUCGGACGGCUGUUAGGGGGUGUGGCUACCUCCAUCCUGUUCAGUGCCUUUGACUCCUGGCUGGUGUGUGAGCACAACGCUCGAGGAUUUGACCGUGACCUGCUGGGGAGUAUGUUCUCCCUGGCCGUCCUGGGGAACUCUGUCGUCGCCAUCAGUGCCGGGAUCGUGGCCCAGGUGUUUGCUGAUCGCUUUGGAUUUGUUGCACCUUUCGAUGUCUCUGCCGUGCUACUGAUAGUCAUGUGCAUCAUCGCAGUCUUCACGUGGACCGAGAACUAUGGCGACUCCUCUGUCAACCUGGGGCGAUCGCUGAUCAACGCUAUGAAAGCUAUCAGGAAAGAUAGGAAGAUCCUGUGCCUUGGACUGAUCCAGUCCCUGUUUGAGGGUGCGAUGUACACGUUUGUCCUGGAGUGGACCCCGGCACUCACCCCGGCCACACAGCCGGGAGAGACGCCCAAGGAAACCAUACCUCACGGGUGGAUAUUCGCUGACUUCAUGGUUGCAGUUAUGAUCGGAUCAUCUCUGUUCAAGAUUCUCUGCAAGUUUUCUACACCAGAGUCUUUCAUGAGACCAGUGUUCUUCAUUGCUGCAUUGUCAUUAUCUGUGCCCAUCUUCAUGCCAGGGCAACAAGCCCCCAUCUUCCUGGGUUUCCUGACAUUUGAGGUCUGUGUGGGGAUGUUCUGGCCAGCUCUCAGCACGUUGAAGGGCAAAUAUGUACCAGAAGAAACCCGAGCCACAGUCUACAACUGUUUCCGGAUCCCCCUCAACAUGAUCGUCAUUUCUAUAUUACUGCAGAAUCUUGGCAUGAGUCUGAUCUUCAAAUGCUGCUCAGGGUUCCUGAUGGUGGCCUGCCUGGCACAGCAGUGGGUCUACUCGUUAGGGGUGUAUUCUCAGCCAGUUCUUCAUUUGUGACAGCUUGUCACAUUGUCUCCAUCUGUCGAUAGGAACAUGGUGUCAUUUUCAUUGGUGACUUGCGACGACAUCCGACAAGCCUACUGCAACUUCUUCUCCCAACCAUGAAGCUGAUGAAACCAAGCAGCCUCUCAUCGAGGACAUCUAGGGAUUACUAUUGGUACUGCAGGCUGUAAAGCCCUUCUGUUGCAAGCCAGGAGCUGUUAGUUUGGUGGUUUAUAGAAUGUAAAUAGUCAUUAAGCCCCUGGCAAAAGAUUUGUAGGUGGUGAAAUGUUUGAUUGUUUGUGCAAUUUAUGCUGCUUAGGGAAUUCAAGGAAUAUUUUUCCUGCAUCACGCUGUGUCAGGUGUUUAGAUGUCUUGCCGCUUCAAUAAUUAUGGUGCCUUAUUUGUAUAAGCGUAGCAUCAACUCAUACCCUAAGACUGCCACUGUAAAAACAGUGCUAUUGAGGCCUUUUCAAGAAUAUUUUGAACACCUGGAUAUCUGAAGUGUGCAUACCUCGGACAUUACUGCCUGCAUUAGAUUUUGAUUUUUUUUUCUAGGGGUAUGACAGAAUUAUGAACGUUGAGCGCCAACUAUAUUGACGCUAACAUUAGUGGAGAACAUCAUUCCAAUGGAAAUGUAAUUGGGGGAACAAUUUAGAUAUUUCAAUUUUUUUACAUAUCAAUCAUUUGGCAAUAGUAAGAAUUUAUAUAAGCAAAUGUGUGACUAAUGUUGUUGGAUCUUGUACAUUUUGAUGGAUUUAUUUACAAAGUUGUAUAGUCUUGGAUAUCCUUGACAGAAUUUCAUCUCAGAAUAUCAUUCCAAUUGUGUGUACUUUAAAACUUGAAAAUGAUUUUUAUCAUAUUUAUUUGUCAAUUUUGUCAUGCUGUAGACUGUUGUUGUUUUAGGGACCACCAAUUUAUUAGUUCUUGAAUUUGAAAAGGACAAUUAAAAUAAGUAUUGGAACAUCAACAAACUAAGAGAGUUUCUAGAAAGAGGAUGUUUCUUGCUUCACACAGUCACAGAGACAAUCUUCCUCUAAAGAGGGUCUGCAAGCACUUCUCUGUUUAGUGUUACAAGUUUUUUUUUUUAAUUCACUGGUAAUCGUUGCUGGCCCACUCUAAUUAAAUCCAGGCUUACAUUUAGUUGUUUUCAUUGAGUAUACACCAAAUAUAGUAACUUUAUAAAUAAAUCUAGUGGAAAUUAGUA